UAAUAAUAACAUAUUAUUAUUAAUAUAAACUCUUAGAGUAAAAAUGAAGAACUGGCAAUUGAUAACUUUUUUGUUGAUAAUUUCUUGUUUAAUAUCUAACAAAGCAAAUGAAAAUAGAAAUUCAGAUGACGAAAAAAUAUACCAAUAUGAAAAUAAAAAUACAGUAUUAGCAGAUUCAAAUUGCAACUUAGAACCAUUAUAUUUAGCUCACGAAAAUGGAUGUCAGAA